CUCAGGAYGYGAAUCUGCGCUUUUAUGGCGCCSAAUUGUGGUCUAUAGACUUUGRCGUUAUCUGCCGGGCCAABUUCCUUGGAAAAGGACAGCUGAGAGGGUGAGACUCCCGUCCGCCUGGUAGAAUGAGUCUUUGUCAACSAGUCGAGUUGUUUGGGAUUGCAGCUCUAAUUUGGUGGUAAAUUCCAUCUAAAGCUAAUAUUGGUGGGAGACCGAUAGCGUACAAGURCCGUGAGGGAAAGAUGCAAAGAACUUUGAAAAGAGAGUUAAAGAGUACCUGAAAUUGCUGAAACGGAAGCGAAGGAAACCAGUGUUUGUUGGUUCAUAUUUCCCUGGCCACUUGUGGUUUGGGCGCUGYGADCUUGCGYGGGUUUGCUUUGGUUGAUCCCUUUGGAAGAGCGCAGUCAGAGUUGAUGUCUGUUGCUAGCACUGGGUUUGACUAAUGCADACGAAAUGGUUUUCUUUACCCCGUCUUGAAACACGGACCAAGGAGUCUAAMVUAUGUGCGASUACAGGGGUGUCAAACCYCSSUGYGUAAUGAAHGUAACAGYGGDUGGAUAUUUUGCACAAUCCGCCGGCCUCAAUCCUUCGGGAGAACGGUCUGAGUGUGAGCAUACAUGUUGGGACCCGAAAGAUGGUGAACUAUGCCUGAAUAGGG
rnacentral:rRNA from 1 species